UUUAUGCCAAGAAGAGCUGCAGAUACAUAAGGAGCAGAACACAACUCCACAAGAAACCAUCAAGAGGUAGAACCAAGCCACUUGAGAAAGCAACAGCAAUUCCAAACAGGAAAAAACACAGCUUAAAAUGUACAUGGUUAUAGCAGGAGCAGCUACCAAGGCAGCAGAUGGGUCUAAAAGUGUUUGAAGAACUACAGCAGAGUUGAGUAAUGGCAGCAGAAUGUUCAGAAGGAGACCUCAAGUGACUGCUUCAGCCCAGCACACUUUG